AUUGAACGCUGGCGGCAGGCCUAACACAUGCAAGUCGAACGAGUGGCGGACGGGUGAGUAAUGUCUGGGAAAAUGCCCGAUGGAGGGGGAUAACUACUGGAAACGGUAGCUCAUACCGCAUACCAUCGGAGGUGCCCAGCUGGGAUUCGCUAUUAGGUGGGGUAACGGCUCACCUAGGCGACGAUCCCUAGCUGGUCUGAGAGGAUGACCAGCCACACUGGAACUGAGACACGGUCCAGACCCCGACUGGAGGCAGCAGUUGGGAAUAUUGCACAAGUGGCGCAAGCCUGAUGCAGCCAUGCCGCGUGUAUGAAGAAGGCCUUCGGGUUGUAAAGUACUUUCAGCGAGGAGGCGUUACUCGCAGAAGAAGCACCGGCUAACUCCGUGCCAGCAGCCGCGGUAAUUC
rnacentral:rRNA from 1 species